GCGCCGUUAGCUCAAUUGGCAGAGCAGCGGACUCUUAAUCCGCGGGUUCGGGGUUCAAGUCCCUGACGGCGCACC
rnacentral:tRNA from 11 species